rnacentral:rRNA from 1 species
UACGUAGGGGGCGAGCGUUGUCCGGAAUCAUUGGGCGUAAAGCGCGUGUAGGCGGAUCUGUAAGUCAAUUGUGAAAGCCCUGGGCUUAACCUGGGAAUUGCAGUUGAAACUGCAGACCUUGAAUGCUUGAGAGGAUGACGGAAUUCCUGGUGUAGAAGUGAAAUUCGUAGAUAUCAGGAGGAACACCCGAGGCGAAGGCGGUUAUCUGGCAAUGCAUUGACGCUGAGGUGCGAAAGCGUGGGUAGCAAACAGG